rnacentral:tRNA from 12 species
AUGUAACUCAGUGGAUAGAGUAUCAGGAUCCGGAUCUGAGAGACAAGGGUUCAAAUCCC